UGACUGCACUCUCUUGGCACUGAAGAGCUCAAGAACGCAAAUCUUUCGCAUCUUCCUCCAGUAAUCUCCAUACGGGGAGAAACCUACAUCAAUAUAGUUGUAGGAUAGUAUUCUAGUACCUUCCGAGACAGGUCUACUGCAAGUGCAAAGAUCAUGGGUUUUCAAGACCUCCAUAGCUGCCUCUGCAGAGGAGACGACAACUGAAGGUACAAAACCAAGUUUUAUAAACAUCACAGGGCCAUGUUUCUUGGAGAGUUGGCAUAGAGACUGAUGAGGUAAUGCCCUAAGUUGAUGCAAGUUGCCUAUGAUUGGAAGCCCUGGAGGGCCUGGUGGAAGGUGCUUGCUCUGUCUCUUAUCCUGAAAUUUUCUCUUCAAGAUAAAGAAUAAUGGGAAGAGCACAAGAAGAAGUGACCACAUAUCGACGGAAGGCAAAGCCAUCGGGGUUUGCAAGUGUCGGCAAGUGGUGUUUGUAGCCAAGAG
rnacentral:misc_RNA from 1 species